AACGCACAUUGCGCCUCUCGGCAUUCCGGGAGGCACGCCUGUCCGAGCGCCAUUACACACUCCAAGCGCGUGCUUGAUGUUGGGCGAUGUCUCCGGAGGACGACUGACGAGCGGGCCCGAGAGGGACGUUUGGUGCGGUCGUGCUGGGGGGGGACACGCCUGGAACGUGUGGGCGCCGACCGCCGGACCACGAGCGUAGCAGGACGUCAGUCACUUCCGCUCGGAUGUUUGGGAAGUGCGGUGAGGCGGCCUCGACCUUUUUGAUGUAGAAAAGAGUUUGGCCUCGGAUCAGGCGGGGAUACCCGCUGAACUUAA
rnacentral:misc_RNA from 1 species